UGCCGAUGAUGCAAGUGUUUUGUUGGGAAGUGCUUGCGGAGGCUCUAAUAGGGUUGUGCGGUAUCCAGGUUCCAACUAGGCUUUGGCCGAAUGUAAAAACGCUCAGA
rnacentral:ncRNA from 1 species